rnacentral:rRNA from 1 species
ACGGUCCUAAGGUAGCGAAAUUCCUUGUCAGGUAAGUUCUGACCCGCACGAAAGGCGUAAUGAUUUGGGCACUGUCUCGACAAUGUACCCGGCGAAAUUGUAGUACUAGUGAAGAUGCUAGUUACCUGCGACAAGACAGAAAGACCCCAUGGAGCUUUACUGCAGCUUGAUACUGGGUUUCGGUAAUUUAUGUACAGGAUAGGUGGGAGACUAUGAAGUUAGGGCGUCAGCCUUAAUGGAGUCACCGUUGGGAUACCACCCUUAAGUUACUGGAAUUCUAACUUGUGAUCAUGAACUGGUCAGAGGACAAUGUCAGGCGGGCAGUUUGACUGGGGCGGUCGCCUCCUAAAGAGUAACGGAGGCGCCCAAAGGUUUCCUCAGCGCGGACAGAAAUCGCGCGAAAGAGUGUAAAGGCAGAAGGAAGCUUAACUGAGAGACAGACAUGUCGACCAGAUACGAAAGUAGGGCUUAGUGAUCCGGCGGUAGUGAAUGGAAAUGCCGUCGCUCAACGGACAAAAGUUACCCUGGGGAUAACAGGCUUAUCUCCCCCAAGAGUUCACAUCGACGGGGAGGUUUGGCACCUCGAUGUCGGCUCAUCGCAUCCUGGAGCGGAAGUACGUUCCAAGGGUUGGGCUGUUCGCCCAUUAAAGCGGUACGCGAGCUGGGUUCAGAACGUCGUGAGACAGUUCGGUCCUUAUCUGUCGCAGGCGGAAGAUAUUUGAAGGGAGCUGUCCUUAGUACGAGAGGACCAGGAUGGACAUACCGAUGGUUUAUCAGUUGUCACACCAGUGGCAUGGCUGAGUAGCCAAGUAUGGAAGGGAUAAACGCUGAAAGCAUCUAAGUGUGAAGCCCACCCUAAGAUAAGAUAUCCCAUACCGUAAGGUAGUAAGAUUCCACGUAGACUAUGUGGUUGAUAGGUUGGAGGUGUAAGUGCAGUAAUGUAUUGAGCUGACCAAUACUAAUAAAUCGAGGGCUUAACCAC